rnacentral:rRNA from 1 species
GACGAACGCUGGCGGCGUGCUUAACACAUGCAAGUCGAACGGUGAAGCGCCUUCCUUUUUGGUGGGUGUGGAUGAGUGGCGAACGGGUGAGUAACACGUGAGUAACCUGCCCCCUUCUUCUGGAUAACCGCAUGAAAGUGUGGCUAAUACGGGAUAUUCUGGGUCUGUCGCAUGAUGGGUCUGGGAAAGAUAUUGUUUCGGUGGGGGAUGGGCUCGCGGCCUAUCAGCUUGUUGGUGGGGUGAUGGCCUACCAAGGCGGUGACGGGUAGCCGGCCUGAGAGGGUGGACGGUCACACUGGGACUGAGACACGGCCCAGACUCCUACGGGGGGCAGCAGUGGGGAAUAUUGCACAAUGGGCGCAAGCCUGAUGCAGCGACGCCGCGUGAGGGAUGGAGGCCUUCGGGUUGUGAACCUCUUUCGCCAGUGAAGCAGGCCUGCCUCGUUUGUGGGUGGGUUGACGGUAGCUGGAUAAGAAGCGCCGGCUAACUGCGUG